rnacentral:rRNA from 1 species
AGAGUUUGAUCCUGGCUCAGGAUGAACGCUGACAGAAUGCUUAACACAUGCAAGUCUACUUGAUCCUUCGGGUGAUGGUGGCGGACGGGGUCAAUAACUUUGUGAACUCGGAUAAACCGCGUACCUUUCUGCAAAAAGUAGGAGAUGUAUUUGUCACGAUCGCCGCUAUCAUUCUUAAGAUAUUCCUGGUAGCUCUUGUCAUCAUUUGCUGUUCGGUAUUGUUCGUGCUCGCUGUGGUGAUAGUAGCUCUUGUGUUUGCGGUGAUUGCUGCGCUUGUUGGCGGCGGAGCUCUGCUUUAUGAAAUGCUUCCGGCUAUUGACUGGACGCCCAUAGCUACCAUAUCUCCUGUGAUGACAUUGCUUGGCACCAUUUCAGGAAUUGCACUCACCGCCCGU